rnacentral:rRNA from 1 species
GGGAUUUCUUUUAGGGUUGGGGAAACAGUUUGGAACGACUGCUAAUACCGCAUAAUGUCUACGGACCAAAGGCGGGCUUCGGCUCUCGCCUUUAGAUUGGCCCAAGUGGGAUUAGCUAGUUGGUGAGGUAAUGGCUCACCAAGGCGACGAUCCCUAGCUGGUUUGAGAGGAUGAUCAGCCACACUGGGACUGAGACACGGCCCAGACUCCUACGGGAGGCAGCAGUGGGGAAUAUUGCACAAUGGGCGCAAGCCUGAUGCAGCCAUGCCGCGUGUGUGAAGAAGGCCUUCGGGUUGUAAAGCACUUUCAGUCAGGAGGAAAGGUUAGUAGUUAAUACCUGCUAGCUGUGACGUUACUGACAGAAGAAGCACCGGCUAACUCCGUGCCAGCAGCCGCGGUAAUACGGAGGGUGCGAGCGUUAAUCGGAAUUACUGGGCGUAAAGCGUACGCAGGCGGUUUGUUAAGCGAGAUGUGAAAGCCCCGGGCUCAACCUGGGAACUGCAUUUCGAACUGGCAAACUAGAGUGUGAUAGAGGGUGGUAGAAUUUCAGGUGUAGCGGUGAAAUGCGUAGAGAUCUGAAGGAAUACCGAUGGCGAAGGCAGCCACCUGGGUCAACACUGACGCUCAUGUACGAAAGCGUGGGGAGCAAACGGGAUUAGAUACCCCGGUUAGUCCACGCCGUAAACGAUGUCUACUAGAAGCUCGGAGCCUCGGGUUCUGUUUUUUCAAAGCUAACGCAUUAAGUAGACCGCCUUGGGGGAGUACGGGCCGCAAGGUUUAAAACUUCAAAUUGAAUUGAACGGGGGCCCGCCACAAGCGGUUGUAG